rnacentral:rRNA from 1 species
UACGUAGGAUGCAAGCGUUGUCCGGAAUUAUUGGGCGUAAAGAGCGCGCAGGCGGUAUGACAAGUCAGAUGUGAAAGAGGCCGGCUUAACCGGCAAGGGUCAUUUGAAACUGUCAGACUAGAGUGCAGCAGAGGAUAGUGGAAUUCCCGGUGUAGUGGUGAAAUGCGUAGAUAUCGGGAGGAACACCAGUGGCGAAGGCGACUAUCUGGGCUGCAACUGACGCUGAGGCGCGGAGGCUAGGGUAGCAAACAGG